AAGCUCUGGGAGGUGAGACGGCCCAUUCAAGGUUAUCAGCUAGCGAGCGGAAGUGCUGAGACACGCAUCCACGCAGCCCGAUCCCGGGCCUUCCACCCUACCACACAGCUGAACAUGCUGUGCAUUGUUAUCGUGAUUUUUAAAAAGCCUUACCAGCUGGGAAAAUGAUUUCUUUUAGGCACAGGCCCUAUCUGCUUCGUGUCUGGGGACACUUCAUGAGGUGGGGACACCCUAGGAAAGCCUCUGGUCCUCUGCUGGUCCCUCCGGUCCUGGGUCUGGAGUUUCCCUGAGAGAGGAUGAGAGAAGACGAGGAGGCCGUCACAGCCGACACCGUGGGGAGGAGGCGUGUAGAUCCUAGAACUGAACUAGUUGAGCAACUCAUCUCUGACCUGCUCUGCUGGCCUGGAGAAAUGAAUACACUGAGGCCUCUCCCCUGCCCCUUCACGACUUACCCGAGGCUUCCAUCUGUUCAGUCUUGAGUGAGUUACUGAGCACUGACUAUGUACAAGGGUCAGAAGAAGAUUUCCGACCGUGAAGGAGAUGGACCAAGACCAGCUCAGACCCCUCUCUCUCAUCUCGCUGCCCCGGCAGAGGCACUUGGCCUGACCAGAACGGCCCCACCCGAGCACUUCAGGCUUAGAGUCAGAGGGCAGCACGAUCAGGAGCACACGUCGCCUCCGCCAUUAGAUUAUGUUUCCAAGGUUAGGAACUAGUCUGGUCUGCCGCUGUGUCUCCUGCAGAAUCUUGCCCCAGUGCGCUCCGUAAUUAUUUACUGGACUGAAUUCUGAAUGUUAUUCUCAGUGAAAACAAUCCCGUAUCUGCAAACAUACAUGGAGCGCUAUGCUGUAGGGGAUUUAAGAAAAAACAUGGACCUACUCCUGGCUCAAAAGGGGCUGAGAAAACAGAGGGAUUGCCAAGCCCUCCUGUCUCCCCGCUGUCUACUCUCCCUCGAAGAUGCGAGGGAGGCAGGAAUUCUACAUUACUUCAGCCCAACU
rnacentral:lncRNA from 1 species